rnacentral:rRNA from 1 species
GACGAACGCUGGCGGCGUGCCUAAUACAUGCAAGUCGAACGCUGAAGGAGGAGCUUGCUUCUCUGGAUGAGUUGCGAACGGGUGAGUAACGCGUAGGUAACCUGCCUGGUAGCGGGGGAUAACUAUUGGAAACGAUAGCUAAUACCGCAUAAUAGUAGAUGUUGCAUGACAUUUGCUUAAAAGGUGCAAUUGCAUCACUACCAGAUGGACCUGCGUUGUAUUAGCUAGUUGGUGAGGUAACGGCUCACCAAGGCAACGAUACAUAGCCGACCUGAGAGGGGGAGCGGCCACACUGGGACUGAGACACGGCCCAGACUCCUACGGGAGGCAGCAGUAGGGAAUCUGCGGCAAUGGACGGAAGUCUGACCGAGCAACGCCGCGUGAGUGAAGAAGGUUUUCGGAUCGUAAAGCUCUGUUGUAAGAGAAGAACGAGUGUGAGAGUGGAAAGUUCACACUGUGACGGUAUCUUACCAGAAAGAGACGGCUAACUACGUG